rnacentral:tRNA from 1 species
AAAUAAGAAACAAUAUUUGUGUUUAGUUUCGACCUAAAAAAUUGGUAUAAAAAUUACCCUUAUUUU